rnacentral:lncRNA from 1 species
AAGAAUGUAUAGUGUGCUUGAGCUCUCUACAAGAUGAGGUAUGAUGUCUUCUUAUUCAUUUUGACAUUUCUACAACUAUGUUGGGUGCAUAAACUUUCAAACACUGUCUCAUCAAAAAUUCACAUUCUUUUCCUAGAUGUAAAAUCAAAUUAAAGAUGUUGUAGAAAUUGCACUUAUUAAAAUGUAUAAAAUGAUGUUUAUAAUAUACUUAUACACCCACCACAAAAUAGAUCAAGACUAAUGAGAGAGGAGACAUAUCUUGACUUCUAUAUGACUGAAAUUAUUCUGACCUUUUUUUAAAAAUAAUUUCAAUAUCCAAGGAAAACAAUAGCUAUAUCAGAAAGAUUGCUAAAUUUAAACCAAAUUUUAUCAUGUGCAUAUUUUUAGUUCCCUAACUGUAAAAUCAAUAAAAAAAUGCGCAAUUUGAUGAAAUGUCGAGUUGGAUGAAUUCUUUAAUGAGCUUUGAAGAAGGCAGAACCAAAGUAUAAUUGGCCGCUUUUGCGGCGAAGCAGGCAAGAAUUAGAGAGGAUAGAGUAUGUUCUCCAACAAGCAACGAUGAAACAAGAAGGCAAAAAAACCACGUAAGUAUAUGAAUUAAUAGAAUCUAAUGUGGACACAAGAGCCUAAGUAGUCCCUCAUUUAGGCACCUAGGAUAAAUCGUCGUAGGAAAAUCUAGACGAGAAAAAUAAAUUAAUUGCUAUAAAGAGUAAAAGUAUUCAAACACAAACAUAUUUUAUUAUAUGAUAUAUGAACAUAUGCAUACAAAAAUAAGAAAUUACAAAAGAUCACAUUAAUCUAACCAGACUACUUAUUCAUUAUUAUUGAUAAAUAUUAUUAUUCCACAACAUGACAUAAUGUAUUAUAUUUCAAGAGUGAGAGUAAUAAAUAUUAUGAUUGAUCAUUUAGAAGGUGGAGAUGAUGAGGACGGGGUUCCUCCUCCAAGAAUACCCCCAAGAAUACCAGUAAUAACUCCAAUAAGAUUAAGACCGUCGAGGCGCCGCCCUGAUGACAAAUGACGACUUGUAGCAUGACAUGUGGCAAUGCUCAUCAUCACCACCAUCACACAAACGAUCACAACUUUGAUGCCCAUCUUUAUCAUUUUGAUCACAAUAUAUAUUUAAUUACAAAUUUACAAUGUUAUAAUUUAAGGAACACG